rnacentral:rRNA from 1 species
ACGCUCGACACCUACUGGAGGCAGCAGUGAGGAAUAUUGGUCAAUGGGCGCAGGCCUGAACCAGCCAAGUAGCGUGAAGGAUGACUGCCCUAUGGGUUGUAAACUUCUUUUAUAUGGGAAUAAAGUUUUCCACGUGUGGAAUUUUGUAUGUACCAUAUGAAUAAGGAUCGGCUAACUCCGUGCAGCAGCCGCGGUAAUCUGAGCGGGCUGGCAAGGC